GGAAUUCAGUUUCUAAUAGAAAAUGACCUGCUACAGAGUUCCCCAGAAGACGUCGCCCAGUUCCUUUAUAAAGGAGAAGGCCUAAAUAAGACCGUCAUUGGGGACUACCUGGGUGAAAGGGAUGAAUUUAAUAUUAAAGUUCUUCAAGCCUUUGUUGAACUCCAUGAGUUUGCUGAUCUCAACCUUGUACAAGCCUUAAGGCAGUUCUUAUGGAGCUUCAGGCUGCCCGGGGAGGCGCAGAAGAUUGAUCGCAUGAUGGAGGCUUUCGCUUCUCGCUACUGCCUGUGCAACCCCGGGGUCUUCCAGUCCACAGGUCAGUGCAGAGCCCACAGCCUGGCCCCUUGCCAGGCACAGCCUCCAGCUCUGGAGGGGGCGGCCCCUGUGGGCACAGCCCAGCGUGUGUUCCUGGGGACCUGCCUUCCCUGAGCGAGGACGACCUGUGGGCCGGGCACCUCUUGCAGGCGCGCCCCCAAGCACGCGGGGUCCCACUGUCCACUGGAGGUUCU
rnacentral:sRNA from 1 species